AGCUCCAAUAGCGUAUAUUAAAGUUGUUGCAGUUAAAAAGCUCGUAGUUGGAUUUCUGUUUUGAGCGUCCGGUCCGCUCGUAAGAGUGUGUUACUAGGAUGUUUGAGACAUUUUUUGUGAGGAUGUUCUUCUGCCAUUCAGUUGGUGGUUGAAUAGACUUGCAUCGUUUACUGUGAAAAAAUUAGAGUGUUUAAAGCAGGCGUUUGCUCAUUGAAUACAUUAGCAUGGAAUAAUAAGAUACGACCUUGGUGGUCUAUUUUGUUGGUUUGCACACCAGGGUAAUGAUUAAUAGGGACAGUUGGGGGUAUUCAUAUUUCAGCGUCAGAGGUGAAAUUCUUGGAUCGCUGAAAGAUGAGCUUAGGCGAAAGCAUUUACCAAGGAUGUUUUCA
rnacentral:rRNA from 1 species